UCUACGGGUGGCAGCAGUGAGGAAUAUUGGUCAAUGGGCGCGAGCCUGAACCAGCCAAGUCGCGUGAAGGAUGACUGCCCUACGGGUUGUAAACUUCUUUUAUAAAGGAAUAAAGUGAGGCACGUGUGCCUUGUUGUAUGUACUUUAUGAAUAAGGAUCGGCUAACUCCGUGCCAGCAGCCGCGGUAAUACGGAGGAUCCGAGCGUUAUCCGGAUUUAUUGGGGUUAAAGGGGGCGUAGAUGGGUUUUUAAGUCAGUUGUGAAAGUUUGGGGCUCAACCGUAAAAUUGCAAUUGAUACUGGUAGUCUAGAGUACAGUUGAGGUAGGCGGAAUACGUGGUGUAGCGGUGAAAUGCUGAGAUAUCACGAAGAACUCCGAUUGCGAAGGCAGCUUACUAGACUGCCACUGACAUUGAGGCACGAAAGUGUGGGUAUCAAACAGGAUUAGAUACCCGAGUAGUC
rnacentral:rRNA from 1 species